UGGGGAAUAUUGCACAAUGGUGGGAACUCUGAUGCAGCGACGCCGCUUGAACGAAGAAGGCUUUCGAGCCGUAAAGUUCUCUUAUAUGGGAAGAUAAUGACGGUACCAUAAGAAAAAGCCCCGGCUAACUACGUGCCAGCAGCCGCGGUAAUACGUAGGGGGCUAGCGUUGUCCGGAAUCACUGGGCGUAAAGGGUUCGCAGGCGGAAAUGCAAGACAGAUGUAAAAGGCAGUAGCUUAACUACUGUAAGCAUUUGAAACUGCAUAUCUUGAGAAGAGUACAGGUAAGUGGAAUUUUUAGUGUAGCGGUGAAAUGCGUAGAUAUUAAAAAGAAUACCGGUGGCGAAGGCGACUUACUGGGCUCAUUCUGACGCUAAGGAACGAAAGCGUGGGUAGCAAACAGG
rnacentral:rRNA from 1 species